UACGGAGGGGGCAAGCGUUGUUCGGAAUCAUUGGGCGUAAAGAGUAUGUAGGCGGCUAUUUAAGUCAGGCGUGCAAGCCCACGGCUCAACCGUGGAAUUGCGUCUGAAACUAUUUAGCUUGAGUUCAGGAGAGGAAGGCGGAAUUCCCAGUGUAGCGGUGAAAUGCAUUGAUAUUGGGAAGAACACCGGUGGCGAAGGCGGCCCUCUGGUCUGAUACUGACGCUGAGAUACGAAAGCCAGGGGAGCGAACGGG
rnacentral:rRNA from 1 species